rnacentral:rRNA from 1 species
GACGAACGCUGGCGGCGUGCUUAACACAUGCAAGUCGAACGCUGAAGCUCAGCUUUUGUUGGGUGGAUGAGUGGCGAACGGGUGAGUAACACGUGAGUAACCUGCCCCCUUCUUUGGGAUAACGCCCGGAAACGGGUGCUAAUACUGGAUAUUCACUGGUCUUCGCAUGGGGGUUGGUGGAAAGGGUUUUUCUGGUGGGGGAUGGGCUCGCGGCCUAUCAGCUUGUUGGUGGGGUGAUGGCCUACCAAGGCUUUGACGGGUAGCCGGCCUGAGAGGGUGACCGGUCACAUUGGGACUGAGAUACGGCCCAGACGACUACGGGAGGCAGCAGUGGGGAAUAUUGCACAAUGGGCGCAAGCCUGAUGCAGCGACGCCGCGUGAGGGAUGGAGGCCUUCGGGUUGUGAACCUCUUUCGCUCAUGGUCAAGCCGCAACAAUGGUUGUGGUGAGGGUAGUGGGUAAAGAAGCGCCGGCUAACUACGUG